AGGACAUCUGUAAGGAAAGUAUCAACAGUGACACCAAGGCUCUUGAACUCCUCAGCCCCUGUGUCUACGUCUAACCCAGGGCUAAUGAGAAACACCAACCAGUGAGAAGAGCAAGAGAUGCCGUUCCUUCUCUGGGUCUGAACUAAGAAGCUGAUGGCCCAUGGGCUGCAAGGAGAACCAGCCUGCUGUACCAAGACUGAAGCCUCCAGGCAAAGCAGGAUGACCACGUGGUCCUUGCCCACCCCAAGAGUUCUGCAUGAUUGAUUUUGCCCUGACUUGUCCACGGGUCCAACAGAGAACCAUUGGAAAGGACCUGCAACCUGAAAUCAACAGUUCAGGGGUGCCAGUGCUAUUAAUAUUAGGAGCUCAAAGGAGACUUGAGAAGAGGGGUUCAGUGUCAUACAAAAAGAGGUUAAGUGCUGUAAGUCACCCCGCUGGAUUCUCUUUUAUGCAAUGGGGUGUAUCAUCCUAACAUUCAAGAAGUAACCAA